GUCAACUCAUCGAAUAUUGUGCUACUUCCUAAGAAGGAUGGGGUUGAGUCUAUCUCUGAUUUCAGAUCUAUAAGCCUCAUCCACACGAUUGCAAAGAUUGUGGCAAAGAUUAUGGCUUCCCGUCUUGCCCCCUUAAUGCAUACCCUCAUUUCCCAAUCUCAGAGCGCUUUCAUAAAGACCGAGAGCAUUCAUCAAAACUUUUCUAUAUGCGCACAACCUGGCAAGGAAAUUGCAUCGCACCAAGAAGCCUACACUCCUCUUAAAACUCGACAUCAAGAUGGCUUUUGA
rnacentral:rRNA from 1 species